rnacentral:lncRNA from 1 species
UUAACACUACAAUAGAUAGAUAGAUAGAAAGAUAGAUAGAUAGAUAGGAAUUUAAGUUUCUUGUCAUGGAUUGCUACUUGCCGGAUGGCUCAUCUUUCCUUCUUGACCUUUUAAUCUGAUAACUACAUGUCAUCAAGAUGUAGGUACGGCAAUUUGUUUCUCUCUGAUAUCACUUGCGUAGUUUCUUGAACUUGCUAGCAAUGCAUCAUCUGUUCAUUGCAUCAAAUAUUUCUUAUGUUUUAACACUACAAUAGAUAGAUAGAUAGGAAUUUAAGUUUCUUGUCAUGGAUUGCUACUUGCCGGACGGCUCAUCUUUCCUUCUUGACCUUUUAAUCUGAUAACUACAUGUCAUUCAGAUAUAGGGAGGAUUAAUAUCAUCGAUCACUGAGGCGAAUAUUUCUAGAUAAUUUAUGCCUUCUAGAGUGUAGUUUAUUCAUCACUCAAGGACAACUGGACAUGUUUUCUCCUCAUUCCCUCUCCCAAUGUUCUUUUCUGUAUGGAGGCUGUAGAUUGUCAUCGACCACAAUGCACAACAAUUUAUGAAUUCACUUCCAACAAUUUAUGAAUUCACAACGCUGAACUAUGUUUUGCCUCUUCAUUUGUACUUUUUCUUUGCAGGACUAAUCUACAUCAGCACUUUUUUAUGCUUCUACAUGUUAUCAUGCAAUUGUUCUGCC